GAAAGGAACCGUUGGUGCCAGUGGAGACCUUGCCCCACUCUCUCAUCUUGCUCUUGGGCUAAUUGGAGAAGGGAAGAUGUGGUCUCCAAAGAGUGGCUGGGCUGAUGCUAAAUAUCAUAAAGCAUCAUUUAAUGUAACAUCCCUGAUGAACUGCUGGGAGCUUCCCUGAUAGUAAGUGAAAGGGGUAGAGGGCCCCAGAAGAGGAAACAGCUAAGGAAAUAGAUAAUCCUUUUGGGGAUGCAGCUUCUAGAUCAUCUGUCUUCCGUGCAGGCUUGUCUUUGAUUAUUUCACUAUGGACAGCGUUUUCCUCCGACCACCCUCAUACAGCAAUCACCCUGACCUUUCUAAACAGCAAAUUCAAGCAUGUUCUGGUGAAAACUUGUAAUGCUUCCCAUUGUCCUCAGGAUAAAGGCUAAACUGAAAGUGGCUUUCAAGGGUCUUGUUUGUCAC
rnacentral:sRNA from 1 species